CUUUUCCGUCACAGCGGCCAACGGAAAAGGGCGAGGUGAUCCGAUUGAUAUGAUAUCAGAUUUCCCCAGUAUAAAUCCCCAGUUGUUGCUGUUAAACUGACACAUGGCGGACCAAAAUGACAUGAUGCAAGCUGUUGGAGAAACAAUCAAACCAGUUGUUCCGAUGAAACACAUUCCUCACAUCAUUAAAUCCUUAUACGGUUUGACGGUGGAGUCUUGCAAAGAAUUGGACAGUUAUGAUGACAAGAACUACCACGUGAUCGUUACUGGCCAAUCAGAGAAUCCCAAUAUAAAGCACACUGAAAAGGACGGUUAUGUUUUGAAAAUACUGAACAAGAUGCAGUCCAAAAAUCCACUAUUUGUUGAAGCGUUGCACACGUUGAUGAAUCACGUUGCCAAAAAUGGAAUCUCUGUUCCUCACAUCAUGAAAAAUCUUAAAGGAGAAAAUAUGUCAUUGGAAAAGAUCUACCACUCAGAAAACAUCACAGAUUCCACACCGUUCGAGUUUUAUAUUGUUCGUCUUUUUACGUACAUUCCUGGAGAGACAUUCUCUGCUAUACCAAUGCAUCCAAAGACUCUUUACAACAUUGGAAAAGUCCUUGGAAAAUUUCAUGAUGCAAUGAAGGGUUUUCAUCAUAAAUUCUUUGAAUCCUAUACAUUAUUAUGGAGUUUGACUGAAGUUGAGCGUGUAAAAGAUUUCUUAAUUGGAGUACAAGACGAGAAUAAGAAGGCACUGGUGACAGAAAUCAUCGACACAUUCAACAAAGAAGUCGUCCCAAAAUACCACAAGCUAACAAAAAGUAUGCCAUCUUGAAACGGAUGAAAAUUUUGUUCGUGAAAAAAACUCCACGUAUAUGAUAUGAUUUUAAUUUCAGGCAUAAUUCAUGGGGAUGUGAAUGAGCGUAACAUAAUUGUUCAAGAAAUUCCAGGACAGAAAGUUACAUCCGGGGAACCACGUGUUUAUGACGUCAGUGCACUCAUUGACUUCAAUGACGCUGUGUCAUCAUACACUGCGUUCGAUGUCGCGAUUUGUAUUGCCUACAUGUCAAUCAAAUGUAAGGAAUUCGAUCAGCGUGACGUAGGAGGUCAUGUACUGGCGGGUUAUUUGUCCAUGCGAAGUAUGAAUGAUACUGAGAGAGAGGUUUUGAAGGUUUGCGUCUGUGCAAGACUCGCCCAAAACCUUGUGAUGGGUGCCUAUACCAACUAUAUGAAUCCUAGCCAUGUCUAUGUCCUUAACACUGCAGCCCGGGGAUGGCCGCUUGUGUCAAUGAUGUGGGAAACUCCGCAACAUGAAAUUGAUGACCGAUGGAACAAUAUCAUAGAGGAAUAUGAAAAUCUGUAAAAAUGACUUUGAAAUCAUUAUAAAGUAUAUUUUAAUACAGAAAUUUAGACUACA
rnacentral:misc_RNA from 1 species